UCUGCCUUUCCUUCCCAAUCCCCAUCACACCUAGGCUGCUGCAACACCACUGCUUUACGCUCUAUUCUCUCACGAGACUAGCACAUCUCAUCUAGGCCGCCCUCUUUCUCUCACUGAAAAUCUCCUACCCCAUCACCAUUCUCUCCCUUGCAAUAACUCAAACAGCUCAUUUGUUUCUUUUUUAUUAUCUCUGAGAAAACCCAACUCCAUUGAACCUAUUACCACUCACAUAGUCCACUUUUAAUCAACGUCCAUUAGAAUCUCAUCUGGACCCAUGGUAUCUACUUCAAUCGCAAUACCAACAAAAGUUCAAGUUCACUGAAAGCUCCUUCACACACCACAAUCAGCAAAUGCCAAACCCAACUCCUCUUCUUUGAUUUUGGACGCGACUCCUUUUCAUUCGGUAGUGAAGAUCCGUUUCAUUCAGUCCCUGUACAAGCAUAGGCAAAAGAAACCCACUUGCAUUGACCGAUUUGCACACCACACCUUCCUGUCUUCAAAGCCAACUCUUCUGUUCACAUUGUGACUUAGGUAAAUUCUGUUCUAUUGUGUAUUUUCAUCUCGAACUAGAAUCUUGUUUUGAGUUAUUAGUUUUCUAUUGAAAAAUAUUGUUUUUAUGAGCUUUGACUACUUGAUUGGGUAUCAAUUUCUAUUAGUCUAUUUGUUGCCUCAAAAUACUAUUUGGAUGGAAUUUAUAGUACAAUUUUUUUUGAAUUUUGUUCGAGAUAUAUUCUAGGUGCCAUGUGAGAAGACUGGGAGUGGUAAUUGGGCGUUUAUGCCUUACAUCUUUGGAGUUUUGAAAAUUCGCUAGCCAUAGCCAUUUUUUUUCCCUAAAAUGGUUUAACGAAUGUUAUUCGGGUAAUGAUACUUUGUGAACUAUCAGGAAGCUUGGUGCCAUUUUUUCUGCAAAUGGAUGUGUUGUUUUUUGUAAAUGAUUUGAGAAUGUUGAAAUCUGGUUGGCUUCUUUGAUUCCUC
rnacentral:misc_RNA from 1 species